CUUAGGGGGGUAAUGAUCUUAGCUAUUAGAGGACCGACGAACUUCUGUAAUGGCCAUUUUCUUUCCCUCUUUAAGCAUUUGUUACUUGGGGAAGUUGGUUAUCAAAUUUGUUGGGCAAUUCAAUAUUCUCUCUUUCUUUUUCUCAAUUCUCUUCCCUUUCUCUUUUCUUCUCUCUAUUGUUUUUCUUUCGAUUUUCUAGUUGCAUCAAAGGUAUCGGAGCUUCGACGAUCCCCAUGGUUGGCGAUGGGGUCACUACUCAGCUGCAAAGGAAUGUUGGAGUGCUGCAAUAGGAGGUUGUUAAGCUCCAAGGUGAACUUGCACAAUGGUAUGCUAAGUUGGAGACCGGAUUCAAGGAAUUCAAGGAAUUCAAGGAUGAUUUCAAGGGCGAGUUGAGAUUUGAACUUCUUUCUCUAUUUGGAAAAAUAUUUGGAGAACCCCAAUCUUGCUGUUAGCAAUGCAGCUGUUUCAGCUAAAGGCAGAGAGUUUUGGAUAAGAGUGAGUAAAAUUUAAUUCGAUUCGAAAAAAUAAUAAAAAAAUUUAAAUUUUGGAUUAUUCGAAUCGAGUUAAUUGAAUCAACUCGAUUUUUUUUUUCAAAUUUUGAGUUCAAGUUGAGUUAAAUUUUCAAAUUCGAAUAAUUUGAAUAAUACAAAUACCAAAUUAAUUAAAUUUAUAUUAUUCUUUAUUAUUUUAAUUUUUUUUUUAGAUUUUCCCCUCAAAUCUAGUUUACUUUGCCGCCUCUACCCCACCCCACCAUUUUCCCUUAAAUCAAAAUUUAAAAUCCCUAAAUCAAACCUAUCGGAUCAUUCAAAGUUUCAAACCCCCAAAUCAAAAUUCCUAAAUCAAGCCAUCCAUCCUUCUUCUUCAUCAGUUCAUUCAAACCCUCCAUUCUUCUUCUUCUUCUUCAAUCUUCAUCAGUUCAUUCAAAUUGCAAACCCCCCAAACUGAGCCUUAUCAGAAAAUAAGCUUUUGACAUGACGUAACACUAACAUGUUUUUUCAGUAUCAAGUUGCGUGAGCCUUAUCAAGGUGCGUUUGUCCUUAGAAGAUGAGUGAUUCAGAAUGAAAUGGUUCAACUCAAAAUUCAAAAAAUUCUUCUCCAAGUAAAGAUAAUCAAACAACAACCAAAGGAAGUGUUAGAAGAAAGAUUACUCCAAAAGUAGUUGGUUGGAACCAUUUCACCAAAUAUAUAAUUGAAGAGGGGGAGAAGAGAACGAGGUGCAAUGAUUGUUAUGUUACUUACAACAUGGAAUCAACUUCGAGUUCUACAACCAAUUUGAAUAAUCAUUUGAAGACAUGCUUAAAAAGACCUUGAGGGGUGGAUGUAAAGCCUACGGGAUUGGCACUUGGUGCCCAGGUGUGUCCUUGGUUGGAUUGGCUCGGUUAAGCAUUCUGGCAUGUCUUGGGUGGAUAAGCGCUUAUCUAUAUCUGUUUAUAUCAUUCAUCGAGCAGAUUUUCAAUGGUUAUAUGACAUGGUGAUGAUAUGUAAUUGUUAUUUGAUUAUGAUGUCUUGUUGAUGAAUUGUAUAUGUUGUAACACCCCCUUACCCAUAUUCGACGUCGGAACAGGAUACAAGGUGUUACCGGACUUAAACACAAACAAACAUACACUUUUGAGCUGUAAAUUUUCGUCCAAAUUAAAACCAUUUGCAAUUAAUCAUAAA